UGGGGAAUCUUGCGCAAUGGGGGAAACCCUGACGCAGCGACGCCGCGUGGAGGAAGACGGUCUUCGGAUUGUAAACUCCUGUUAAGUGGGAAGAAAGGCUAAAGAUUAAUACUCUUUAGAGAUGACGGUACCACUAGAGAAAGCACCGGCAAACUUCGUGCCAGCAGCCGCGGUAAAUACGAGGGGUGCAAACGUUAUUCGGAAUCACUGGGCGUAAAGAGCGUGUAGGCGGUUUGUUAAGUUAGCUGUUAAAGGCCUCAGCUUACCUGAGGAAAUGCAGUUAAUACUGGCUUUCUAGAGGGCAAGAGAGAGAAGUGGAAUUCUUGGAGUAGCGGUAAAAUGCGUAGAUC
rnacentral:rRNA from 1 species